UUAAUGACACUUACUACAGCUUUUGGCAUUGCAGCACCUUCGAAAUCAGUCUGCAAUGCAAAAUGCCUAUAUUUUUAAAAACAUGCAUUUAUUAGAAACUCAAUUUAAUUCAAAACUGAAAUUAUGAAAGCGAACAAAUAUUGCGAAUUUAUUCAUCCAUCAAUAUCAGUGUCUUCAGCACAGAACAUUCCCCAUCCCCCAAUGAGUUCUGUGAACUUCAGAACUUAAUACGUCAUGAAAAACGUGAUUUUACGUGGUUGCUCUUUUUGUGACAUAGUAGCGUCAUAAAGUAACUACAAGCCUAAUAACCUCUUUUCGUAGAAAACUUGCUAAAGGCCAAUCACAAAAUAUCCCCCCUGGGGUAUGUUCUGUGGUUCAGACUGCUGUGAAACUUACUAGCAAACCAGCUUGAUUCUGAGCUGAGUGACUUUUUCAAACGUAAACAAAGGCUUCUGACAUCGGCUUUGAAGUUUUUCCUCGUUCUAACCUCUAAUAUGGAAAAUAUCAAUACCCAGACAGAAGUGAUUGCCACUUAUGAGUCCUCCAGGACAAGGCGCUCUUUGGUCGAAGGGAAUAUACUCAAUAACGAUUCCAAUAAUGAUGAAGAAUAUGAAUCAAAUGGAUUUUAUGUUAGG